rnacentral:rRNA from 1 species
UACGAAGGUGGCAAGCGUUGUUCGGAUUUACUGGGCGUAAAGCGCGCGUAGGCGGCUUUGCAAGUCGAGUGUGAAAUCCCCAGGCUUAACCUGGGAACUGCAUUCGAGACUGCAUAGCUAGAGUAUGGGAGAGGGAAGUGGAAUUUCAGGUGUAGCGGUGAAAUGCGUAGAUAUCUGAAGGAACAUCAGUGGCGAAAGCGACUUCCUGGACCAAUACUGACGCUCAUGGUGCGAAAAGCGUGGGGAGCAAACAGG